rnacentral:rRNA from 1 species
CCUACGUGUGGCAGCAGUGAGGAAUAUUGGUCAAUGGACGAGAGUCUGAACCAGCCAAGUAGCGUGAAGGAUGACUGCCCUAUGGGUUGUAAACUUCUUUUAUCUGGGAAUAAAAUGUUCCACGUGUGGGCUUUUGUAUGUACCAUAUGAAUAAGCAUCGGCUAACUCCGUGCCAGCAGCCGCGGUAAUACGGAGGAUCCGAGCGUUAUCCGGAUUUAUUGGGUUUAAAGGGUGCGGAGGUGGUUUGUUAAGUCCGUUGGGAAAGUACGGGGCACAACCGUAAAAGUGCAGUUGAAACUGGCAGUCUCGAGUAGAGGAGAGGUGUGCGGAAUGCGUGGUGUAGCGGUGAAAUGCUUAGAUAUCACGCAGAACUCCGAUUGCGAAGGCAGUUUACCGGCCUCCAACUGACGCUGAGGCACGAAAGUGUGGGUAUCAAACAGGAUUAGAUACCCUUGUAGUC